AUGGAAGAAAAUGGAUUGAAGCCAAAUUACAAAGGCCCUGGUUGUUAUACUGAGGACUUCAGCCUUUAUUCUGGAUCAGUGGACUCCAGGUCUCACGGAAUGCUGAAUUUUUCGAGCACUCACCACAAGGUCUCAAGCCCCCGAGGACUACCAGGCAAAUUUCCAACAAAGCUGGGUUCACAACUGAGAAUUCCCAGUGUAUGGCACCACAAGGAAAAUAGCUGCAUUUGGAUAGUGACAUGGAGUGACUUAGGUAUGUUAUUGGCAUCUCACAGCUUGGUGGCAUCUAAGGAUAACUGAGUCAUAUAGGACAUGUGAUAUAAAGAAUACUUGGGCCUAUAACAAAUACUAAUUGAUAAUUUAGAUGUCUGUAGAGUUUCAAAGUGAGGAAAAGGAAAAUUCUGAUUAAGGAAUUAAAACUUAAUGAAAUGGCUAAAGUUGGUCUUAUGUACUGAAUGUUUGUGUACCUCCCAAAUUCACAUGGUGAAAUCCUAACCCCCAAUGUGAAGGUAUUAUGAGGUGGGAUCUUUGGAUAGAUUAGGUCAUGGGGUGAGCUCCCAUGAAUGGGAUUAGUGCCCUUAUGAAAGAGACCCCAGAGAGUUCUCUUACCCCUUCUGCCAUGUGAGGACACGGUGAGAAGACGGCCAUCUGUGAAGCAAGAAGAAGGUCCUCAUCAGACACCAAAGACGCCUUGAUCUUGGACUUCCCAGCCUCCAGAACUGUGAAUAAUAAAUUUUUGUUGUUUAAGUUACCCA
rnacentral:lncRNA from 1 species